CCUUCCUAGUGAACUUCACCAGAAAUCAGGGGAUAUAUGGAGAGCAGUUAUUGACUGGAAUCAGAAGCUAGGAGAGUGGAAAUGAACUCUCACUGGAAAUACUUUCAGAAACAUCUCAUUGAAACCCCACAACCAGCCUGCCGAAUCACUUUGUUCUUAUUUGAUAUAUGGGAAUUGGCUCAAAGUCACACAUCCAGGAAGUCGCAAAGACAGACCCAAACCCAGGACUUGUAGAUGCAAAUCUGACUUGCCCACUUAACUCAGGUUCACAGACAUGGCAUCAGUGAUGGUAAAAUGUGUCCCUCACAGUGGCACCCACAACCUCCUGGAGGCUCACACAAUCCAUGGUGCAGUGCGACUCCAACUUGCAUCAACCGAAGAAACUGCUGAUCUCCACUUUCAGGCUCUACAAGGACUGACUUGCUCUGGGCCAUGACUACAUGGAAGACACAAGUAUGUUCCUCCAGUAUUCUUUGUGUUCGGCUUAUGCCUCCAUGUCCCCUGAAGUCAGACAGGGAACAAUUUUGGACAUGGGACUAUUUUGUAUGUACUAAAUCAUUAAAACUCACAAUAUUGUA